rnacentral:piRNA from 1 species
UAGACGCAGUCAUGACUCUUGCUUUGGUUC